rnacentral:rRNA from 1 species
GGGUUGUGAGGUUAAGCGACUAAGCGUACACGGUGGAUGCCCUGGCAGUCAGAGGCGAUGAAGGACGUGCUAAUCUGCGAAAAGCGUCGGUAAGGUGAUAUGAACCGUUAUAACCGGCGAUGUCCGAAUGGGGAAACCCAGUGCAAUUCGUUGCACUAUCGUUAACUGAAUACAUAGGUUAACGAGGCGAACCGGGGGAACUGAAACAUCUAAGUACCCCGAGGAAAAGAAAUCAACCGAGAUUCCCCCAGUAGCGGCGAGCGAACGGGGAGCAGCCCAGAGUCUGAAUCAGCUUGUGUGUUAGUGGAACGGUCUGGAAAGUCCGACGGUACAGGGUGAUAGUCCCGUACACCAAAAUGCACAGGCUGUGAACUCGAAGAGUAGGGCGGGACACGUGGUAUCCUGUCUGAAUAUGGGGGGACCAUCCUCCAAGGCUAAAUACUCCUGACUGACCGAUAGUGAACCAGUACCGUGAGGGAAAGGCGAAAAGAACCCCGGCGAGGGGAGUGAAAAAGAACCUGAAACCGUGUACGUACAAGCAGUGGGAGCACCUUCGGGUGUGACUGCGUACCUUUUGUAUAAUGGGUCAGCGACUUAUAUUCUGUAGCAAGGUUAACCGUAUAGGGGAGCCGCAGGGAAACCGAGUCUUAACUGGGCGUUAAGUUGCAGGGUAUAGACCCGAAACCCGGUGAUCUAGCCAUGGGCAGGUUGAAGGUUGGGUAACACUAACUGGAGGACCGAACCGACUAAUGUUGAAAAAUUAGCGGAUGACUUGUGGCUGGGGGUGAAAGGCCAAUCAAACCGGGAGAUAGCUGGUUCUCCCCGAAAGCUAUUUAGGUAGCGCCUCGUGAAUUCAUCUUCGGGGGUAGAGCACUGUUUCGGCUAGGGGGUCAUCCCGACUUACCAACCCGAUGCAAACUACGAAUACCGAAGAAUGUUAUCACGGGAGACACACGGCGGGUGCUAACGUCCGUCGUGAAGAGGGAAACAACCCAGACCGCCAGCUAAGGUCCCAAAGUCAUGGUUAAGUGGGAAACGAUGUGGGAAGGCACAGACAGCCAGGAUGUUGGCUUAGAAGCAGCCAUCAUUUAAAGAAAGCGUAAUAGCUCACUGGUCGAGUCGGCCUGCGCGGAAGAUGUAACGGGGCUAAACUGUGCACCGAAGCUGCGGCAGCGAACGUAUCACUUAAAACGAUUUCAGUGACGAUUGACGGAGCGAAGCGACGUCAAAGCGUUUACAAAGUCGAGUCGGUUUAAGGAUACGUUCGUUGGGUAGGGGAGCGUUCUGUAAGCCUGCGAAGGUGUGCUGUGAGGCAUGCUGGAGGUAUCAGAAGUGCGAAUGCUGACAUAAGUAACGAUAAAGCGGGUGAAAAGCCCGCUCGCCGGAAGACCAAGGGUUCCUGUCCAACGUUAAUCGGGGCAGGGUGAGUCGACCCCUAAGGCGAGGCCGAAAGGCGUAGUCGAUGGGAAACAGGUUAAUAUUCCUGUACUUGGUGUUACUGCGAAGGGGGGACGGAGAAGGCUAUGUUAGCCGGGCGACGGUUGUCCCGGUUUAAGCAUGUAGGCUGGUUGUCCAGGCAAAUCCGGAUAAUCAAGGCUGAGGUGUGAUGACGAGGCACUACGGUGCUGAAGUAACAAAUGCCCUGCUUCCAGGAAAAGCCUCUAAGCAUCAGGUAACAUUAAAUCGUACCCCAAACCGACACAGGUGGUCAGGUAGAGAAUACCAAGGCGCUUGAGAGAACUCGGGUGAAGGAACUAGGCAAAAUGGUGCCGUAACUUCGGGAGAAGGCACGCUGGUGUGUAGGUGAAGUCCCUGCGGAUGGAGCUGAGACCAGUCGAAGAUACCAGCUGGCUGCAACUGUUUAUUAAAAACACAGCACUGUGCAAACACGAAAGUGGACGUAUACGGUGUGACGCCUGCCCGGUGCCGGAAGGUUAAUUGAUGGGGUUAUCCGUAAGGAGAAGCUCUUGAUCGAAGCCCCGGUAAACGGCGGCCGUAACUAUAACGGUCCUAAGGUAGCGAAAUUCCUUGUCGGGUAAGUUCCGACCUGCACGAAUGGCGUAAUGAUGGCCAGGCUGUCUCCACCCGAGACUCAGUGAAAUUGAACUCGCUGUGAAGAUGCAGUGUACCCGCGGCAAGACGGAAAGACCCCGUGAACCUUUACUAUAGCUUGACACUGAACAUUGAGCCUUGAUGUGUAGGAUAGGUGGGAGGCUUUGAAGCGUGGACGCCAGUCUGCGUGGAGCCAACCUUGAAAUACCACCCUUUAAUGUUUGAUGUUCUAACGUUGGCCCCUGACCGGGGUUGCGGACAGUGUCUGGUGGGUAGUUUGACUGGGGCGGUCUCCUCCCAAAGCGUAACGGAGGAGCACGAAGGUUAGCUAAUCCUGGUCGGACAUCAGGAGGUUAGUGCAAUGGCAUAAGCUAGCUUGACUGCGAGCGUGACGGCGCGAGCAGGUGCGAAAGCAGGUCAUAGUGAUCCGGUGGUUCUGAAUGGAAGGGCCAUCGCUCAACGGAUAAAAGGUACUCCGGGGAUAACAGGCUGAUACCGCCCAAGAGUUCAUAUCGACGGCGGUGUUUGGCACCUCGAUGUCGGCUCAUCACAUCCUGGGGCUGAAGUAGGUCCCAAGGGUAUGGCUGUUCGCCAUUUAAAGUGGUACGCGAGCUGGGUUUAGAACGUCGUGAGACAGUUCGGUCCCUAUCUGCCGUGGGCGCUGGAGAAUUGAGGGGGGCUGCUCCUAGUACGAGAGGACCGGAGUGGACGCAUCACUGGUGUUCGGGUUGUCAUGCCAAUGGCACUGCCCGGUAGCUAAAUGCGGAAGAGAUAAGUGCUGAAAGCAUCUAAGCACGAAACUUGCCCCGAGAUGAGUUCUCCCUGAGACUUUAAGUCUCCUGAAGGAACGUUGAAGACGACGACGUUGAUAGGCCGGGUGUGUAAGCGCAGCGAUGCGUUGAGCUAACCGGUACUAAUGAACCGUGAGGCUUAACCUUACAACGCCGAAG